rnacentral:tRNA from 1 species
GGCUAGAUAGCUCAGUUGGUAGAGCAAGGGACUGAAAAUCCCUGUGUCAGUAGUUCGAUUCUACUUCUAGCCACCA